rnacentral:rRNA from 1 species
GAUGAACGCUGGCGGCGUGCCUAAUACAUGCAAGUCGAGCGAACGGACGAGAAGCUUGCUUCUCUGAUGUUAGCGGCGGACGGGUGAGUAACACGUGGAUAACCUACCUAUAAGACUGGGAUAACUUCGGGAAACCGGAGCUAAUACCGGAUGAUAUUUUGAACCGCAUGGUUCAAAAGUGAAAGACGGUCUUGCUGUCACUUAUAGAUGGAUCCGCGCUGCAUUAGCUAGUUGGUAAGGUAACGGCUUACCAAGGCAACGAUGCAUAGCCGACCUGAGAGGGUGAUCAGCCACACUGGAACUGAGACACGGUCCAGACUCCCACGGGAGGCAGCAGUAGGGAAUCUUCCGCAAUGGGCGAAAGCCUGACGGAGCAACGCCGCGUGAGUGAUGAAGGUCUUCGGAUCGUAAAACUCUGUUAUUAGGGAAGAACAUAUGUGUAAGUAACUGUGCACAUCUUGACGGUACCUAAUCAGAAAGCCACGGCUAACUACGUG